rnacentral:tRNA from 1 species
GGCUCAGUCGGUGGAGCAUGGGACUCUUGAUCUCGGGGUUGUGGGUUCGAACCCCAC